GGGUUGUGAGGUUAAGCGACUAAGCGUACACGGUGGAUGCCCUGGCAGUCAGAGGCGAUGAAGGACGUGCUAAUCUGCGAUAAGCGUCGGUAAGGUGAUAUGAACCGUUAUAACCGGCGAUUUCCGAAUGGGGAAACCCAGUGUGAUUCGUCACACUAUCAUUAACUGAAUCCAUAGGUUAAUGAGGCGAACCGGGGGAACUGAAACAUCUAAGUACCCCGAGGAAAAGAAAUCAACCGAGAUUCCCCCAGUAGCGGCGAGCGAACGGGGAGCAGCCCAGAGCCUGAAUCAGUGUGUGUGUUAGUGGAAGCGUCUGGAAAGGCGCGCGAUACAGGGUGACAGCCCCGUACACAAAAAUGCACAUGCUGUGAGCUCGAUGAGUAGGGCGGGACACGUGGUAUCCUGUCUGAAUAUGGGGGGACCAUCCUCCAAGGCUAAAUACUCCUGACUGACCGAUAGUGAACCAGUACCGUGAGGGAAAGGCGAAAAGAACCCCGGCGAGGGGAGUGAAAAAGAACCUGAAACCGUGUACGUACAAGCAGUGGGAGCACGCUUAGGCGUGUGACUGCGUACCUUUUGUAUAAUGGGUCAGCGACUUAUAUUCUGUAGCAAGGUUAACCGAAUAGGGGAGCCGAAGGGAAACCGAGUCUUAACUGGGCGUUAAGUUGCAGGGUAUAGACCCGAAACCCGGUGAUCUAGCCAUGGGCAGGUUGAAGGUUGGGUAACACUAACUGGAGGACCGAACCGACUAAUGUUGAAAAAUUAGCGGAUGACUUGUGGCUGGGGGUGAAAGGCCAAUCAAACCGGGAGAUAGCUGGUUCUCCCCGAAAGCUAUUUAGGUAGCGCCUCGUGAAUUCAUCUCCGGGGGUAGAGCACUGUUUCGGCAAGGGGGUCAUCCCGACUUACCAACCCGAUGCAAACUGCGAAUACCGGAGAAUGUUAUCACGGGAGACACACGGCGGGUGCUAACGUCCGUCGUGAAGAGGGAAACAACCCAGACCGCCAGCUAAGGUCCCAAAGUCAUGGUUAAGUGGGAAACGAUGUGGGAAGGCCCAGACAGCCAGGAUGUUGGCUUAGAAGCAGCCAUCAUUUAAAGAAAGCGUAAUAGCUCACUGGUCGAGUCGGCCUGCGCGGAAGAUGUAACGGGGCUAAACCAUGCACCGAAGCUGCGGCAGCGACACUGUGUGUUGUUGGGUAGGGGAGCGUUCUGUAAGCCUGCGAAGGUGUGCUGUGAGGCAUGCUGGAGGUAUCAGAAGUGCGAAUGCUGACAUAAGUAACGAUAAAGCGGGUGAAAAGCCCGCUCGCCGGAAGACCAAGGGUUCCUGUCCAACGUUAAUCGGGGCAGGGUGAGUCGACCCCUAAGGCGAGGCCGAAAGGCGUAGUCGAUGGGAAACAGGUUAAUAUUCCUGUACUUGGUGUUACUGCGAAGGGGGGACGGAGAAGGCUAUGUUGGCCGGGCGACGGUUGUCCCGGUUUAAGCGUGUAGGCUGGUUUUCCAGGCAAAUCCGGAAAAUCAAGGCUGAGGCGUGAUGACGAGGCACUACGGUGCUGAAGCAACAAAUGCCCUGCUUCCAGGAAAAGCCUCUAAGCAUCAGGUAACAUCAAAUCGUACCCCAAACCGACACAGGUGGUCAGGUAGAGAAUACCAAGGCGCUUGAGAGAACUCGGGUGAAGGAACUAGGCAAAAUGGUGCCGUAACUUCGGGAGAAGGCACGCUGAUAUGUAGGUGAAGUCCCUCGCGGAUGGAGCUGAAAUCAGUCGAAGAUACCAGCUGGCUGCAACUGUUUAUUAAAAACACAGCACUGUGCAAACACGAAAGUGGACGUAUACGGUGUGACGCCUGCCCGGUGCCGGAAGGUUAAUUGAUGGGGUCAGCGCAAGCGAAGCUCUUGAUCGAAGCCCCGGUAAACGGCGGCCGUAACUAUAACGGUCCUAAGGUAGCGAAAUUCCUUGUCGGGUAAGUUCCGACCUGCACGAAUGGCGUAAUGAUGGCCAGGCUGUCUCCACCCGAGACUCAGUGAAAUUGAACUCGCUGUGAAGAUGCAGUGUACCCGCGGCAAGACGGAAAGACCCCGUGAACCUUUACUAUAGCUUGACACUGAACAUUGAGCCUUGAUGUGUAGGAUAGGUGGGAGGCUUUGAAGUGUGGACGCCAGUCUGCAUGGAGCCGACCUUGAAAUACCACCCUUUAAUGUUUGAUGUUCUAACGUUGACCCGUAAUCCGGGUUGCGGACAGUGUCUGGUGGGUAGUUUGACUGGGGCGGUCUCCUCCUAAAGAGUAACGGAGGAGCACGAAGGUUGGCUAAUCCUGGUCGGACAUCAGGAGGUUAGUGCAAUGGCAUAAGCCAGCUUGACUGCGAGCGUGACGGCGCGAGCAGGUGCGAAAGCAGGUCAUAGUGAUCCGGUGGUUCUGAAUGGAAGGGCCAUCGCUCAACGGAUAAAAGGUACUCCGGGGAUAACAGGCUGAUACCGCCCAAGAGUUCAUAUCGACGGCGGUGUUUGGCACCUCGAUGUCGGCUCAUCACAUCCUGGGGCUGAAGUAGGUCCCAAGGGUAUGGCUGUUCGCCAUUUAAAGUGGUACGCGAGCUGGGUUUAGAACGUCGUGAGACAGUUCGGUCCCUAUCUGCCGUGGGCGCUGGAGAAUUGAGGGGGGCUGCUCCUAGUACGAGAGGACCGGAGUGGACGCAUCACUGGUGUUCGGGUUGUCAUGCCAAUGGCACUGCCCGGUAGCUAAAUGCGGAAGAGAUAAGUGCUGAAAGCAUCUAAGCACGAAACUUGCCCCGAGAUGAGUUCUCCCUGAC
rnacentral:rRNA from 1 species